UGGGGAAUUUUGGACAAUGGGCGAAAGCCUGAUCCAGCAAUGCCGCGUGUGUGAAGAAGGCCUUCGGGUUGUAAAGCACUUUUGUCCGGAAAGAAAUCCUUGGCUCUAAUACAGUCGGGGGAUGACGGUACCGGAAGAAUAAGCACCGGCUAACUACGUGCCAGCAGCCGCGGUAAUACGUAGGGUGCAAGCGUUAAUCGGAAUUACUGGGCGUAAAGCGUGCGCAGGCGGUUUGCUAAGACCGAUGUGAAAUCCCCGGGCUCAACCUGGGAACUGCAUUGGUGACUGGCAGGCUAGAGUAUGGCAGAGGGGGGUAGAAUUCCACGUGUAGCAGUGAAAUGCGUAGAGAUGUGGAGGAAUACCGAUGGCGAAGGCAGCCCCCUGGGCCAAUACUGACGCUCAUGCACGAAAGCGUGGGGAGCAAAACAGGAUUAGAUACCCUGGUAGUCCACGCCCCUAAAACGAUGUCAACUAGUUGUUGGGGAUUCAUUUCCUUAGUAACGUAGCUAACGCGUGAAGUUGACCGCCUGGGGAGUACGGUCGCAAGAUUAAAACUUAAAUGAAUUGACGGGGUCAUAGCUGUUUCCU
rnacentral:rRNA from 1 species